rnacentral:rRNA from 1 species
UGCCUUAGUAACGGCGAGUGAAGCGGCAACAGCUCAAAUUUGAAAUCUGGCCCCAGGCCCGAGUUGUAAUUUGCAGAGGAUGCUUUUGGCGCGGUGCCUUCCGAGUUCCCUGGAACGGGACGCCAUAGAGGGUGAGAGCCCCGUCUGGUUGGAUACCAAGCCUUUGUAAAGCUCCUUCGACGAGUCGAGUAGUUUGGGAAUGCUGCUCUAAAUGGGAGGUAUAUGUCUUCUAAAGCUAAAUACCGGCCAGAGACCGAUAGCGCACAAGUAGAGUGAUCGAAAGAUGAAAAGCACUUUGGAAAGAGAGUUAAACAGCACGUGAAAUUGUUAAAAGGGAAGCGUUUAUGACCAGACUUGGGCCGGUUAAUCAUCCAGCGUUCUCGCUGGUGCACUUUGCCGGUCCAGGCCAGCAUCAGUUCGCUGCGGGGGAUAAAGGCGUCGGGAAUGUGGCUCCUCCGGAGUGUUAUAGCCCUUCGCGCAAUACCCUGCGGUGGACUGAGGUUCGCGCAUCUGCAAGGAUGCUGGCGUAAUGGUCAUCAAC